UACGUAGGGGGCAAGCGUUGUCCGGAUUUAUUGGGCGUAAAGAGCGUGUAGGCGGCCUGAAAAGUCUGCUGUGAAAACUCGAGGCUCAACCUCGAGAUGUCGGCGGAAACUGUCUGGCUAGAGUCCGGAAGAGGAGAGUGGAAUUCCUGGUGUAGCGGUGAAAUGCGCAGAUAUCAGGAAGAACACCUAUGGCGAAGGCAGCUCUCUGGGACGGUACUGACGCUGAGACGCGAAAGCGUGGGGAGCGAACAGG
rnacentral:rRNA from 1 species